GGACAGAGGAGACAGGUGGUGCAUGGUUGUCGUCAGCUCGUGUCGUGAGAUGUUGGGUUAAGUCCCGCAACGAGCGCAACCCUUGAUCUUAGUUGCCAGCAGGUUGAGCUGGGCACUCUAAGGUGACUGCCGGUGACAAACCGGAGGAAGGUGGGGAUGACGUCAAAUCAUCAUGCCCCUUAUGACCUGGGCUACACACGUACUACAAUGGCCGGUACAACGGGAAGCGAAGCCGCGAGGUGGAGCCAAUCCUAUCAAAGCCGGUCUCAGUUCGGAUUGCAGGCUGCAACUCGCCUGCAUGAAGUCGGAAUUGCUAGUAAUCGCGGAUCAGCAUGCCGCGGUGAAUACGUUCCCGGGUCUUGUACACACCGCCCGUCACACCACGAGAGUUUACAACACCCGAAGUCGGUGGGGUAACCCGCAAGGGAGCCAGCCGCCGAAGGUGGGGUAGAUGAUUGGGGUGAAGUCGUAACAAGGUAGCCGUAUCGGAAGGUGCGGCUGGAUCACCUCCUUU
rnacentral:rRNA from 1 species